rnacentral:rRNA from 1 species
GCAGCAGUAGGGAAUCUUUCCGCAAUGGACGAAAGUCUGACGGAGCAACGCCCGCGUGAGUGAUGAAGGUUUUCGGAUCGUAAAACUCUGUUGUUAGGGAAGAACAAGUACCGUUCGAAUAGGGCGGUACCUUGACGGUACCUAACCAGAAAGCCACGGCUAACUACGUGCCAGCAGCCGCGGUAAUACGUAGGUGGCAAGCGUUGUCCGGAAUUAUUGGGCGUAAAGCGCGCGCAGGCGGUUUCUUAAGUCUGAUGUGAAAGCCCCCGGCUCAACCGGGGAGGGUCAUUGGAAACUGGGGAACUUGAGUGCAGAAGAGGAGAGUGGAAUUCCACGUGUAGCGGUGAAAUGCGUAGAGAUGUGGAGGAACACCAGUGGCGAAGGCGACUCUCUGGUCUGUAACUGACGCUGAGGCGCGAAAGCGUGGGGAGCGAACAGGAUUAGAUACCCUGGUAGUCCACGCCGUAAACGAUGAGUGCUAAGUGUUAGAGGGUUUCCGCCCUUUAGUGCUGCAGCAAACGCAUUAAGCACUCCGCCUGGGGAGUACGGUCGCAAGACUGAAACUCAAAGGAAUUGACGGGGGCCCGCACAAGCGGUGGAGCAUGUGGUUUAAUUCGAAGCAACGCGAAGAACCUUACCAGGUCUUGACAUCCUCUGACAACCCUAGAGAUAGGGCUUCCCCUUCGGGGGCAGAGUGACAGGUGGUGCAUGGUUGUCGUCAGCUCGUGUCGUGAGAUGUUGGGUUAAGUCCCGCAACGAGCGCAACCCUUGAUCUUAGUUGCCAGCAUUCAGUUGGGCACUCUAAGGUGACUGCCGGUGACAAACCGGAGGAAGGUGGGGAUGACGUCAAAUCAUCAUGCCCCUUAUGACCUGGGCUACACACGUGCUACAAUGGGCAGAACAAAGGGCAGCGAAGCCGCGAGGCUAAGCCAAUCCCACAAAUCUCUUCUCAGUUCGGAUCCCAGUCCUGCAACUCGACUGCGUGAAGCUGGAAUCCCUAGUAAUCCGCGACCAGC